rnacentral:rRNA from 1 species
CGAGUGCCCCGACGCGUUAUCCGGAAUCAUUGGGCGUAAAGGGUGUGUAGGUGGUUGUGUUAGUCUUCUGUUAAAACCCGGGGCUUAACCCCGGAGGUGCGGAGGAAACGGCACGACUAGAGGAUGGCAGGGAUGUAUGGAACUCAUGGAGUAGGGGUGAAAUCCGUUGAUAUCAUGGGGAACACCAAAAGCGAAGGCAGUACAUUGGGCCACUCCUGACACUGAGACACGAAAGCGUGGGUAGCGAAUGGGAUUAGAUACCCCAGUAGUCCACGCCCUAAACGUUGACAACUAGCUUUUCAGAGUAUCGACCCUCCGAGAGGCGAAGCUAACGCGUUAAGUUGUCCGCCUGGGUACUACGGCCGCAAGGCUAA